rnacentral:lncRNA from 1 species
CAAGUAGAUACAUCGAUAGGACACAAUGUCUGUAAAUUGUUCCUUUUUAGUAUUUUUGAUUUGUAUCAAGUAGAUUUUUUAGGAUAAUGACAUUCGAGGGACUCAAUGUCUGUAUAUAGAAUCAGAAGUUUUAUCACUUGCAUAAGUAGGAUGAUAGAUGAUGCAGGUUUACUUUGGGGCAGCGUUUUCAGCUCCAUAAGAGCUUCAUACGUCAUGGCGGUAUCUGCUCCCAAAAGUUGAAAUGUUACACUAUUAUUAACAAAUUUAUAGUCAAGGCGAG